UACGGGGGGGGCUAGCGUUGUUCGGAAUUACUGGGCGUAAAGGGCGCGUAGGCGGUCUGCUAAGUUGGAUGUGAAAACUCUGGGCUUAACCCAGAGCCUGCAUUCAAUACUGACAGGCUAGAGUUCUGGAGGGGAUAGCGGAAUUCCUGGUGUAGCGGUGAAAUGCGUAGAUAUCGGGAGGAACACCAGUGGCGAAGGCGGCUUCUUGGCCUGUUCUUGACGCUGAGGCGCGAAAGCUAGGGGAGCAAACGGG
rnacentral:rRNA from 1 species